GUUUGAUCCUGGCUCAGGAUGAACGCUAGCGGCAGGCUUAAUACAUGCAAAGUCGAACGGUAACAGCAGAGUUUACUUUGGCUGACGAGUGGCGAACGGGUGAGUAACGCGUACACAAUCUACCUUUAAGUGAGGGAUAGCCUAUGGAAACGUAGAAUAAUACCUCAUGGUAUUGAAUUAUCGCAUGGUAAUUUGAUUAAAGAUUAAUUGCUUAGAGAUGAGUGUGCGUCCUAUUAGCUAGAUGGUAGUGUAAUGGACUACCAUGGCGACGAUAGGUAGGAGGCGUGAGAGCGUGGACCCCCACACGGGUACUGAGACACGGACCCGACUCCUACGANGGCAGCAGUAAGNNUAUUGGACAAGGGCGNNNGCCUGAUCCAGCCNUGCCGCGUGCNGGNAGACGGCCCUACGGGUUGUAAACUGCUUUUGUAUAGAAGNAUGGCCCUGACGUGUCAAGACGCGACGGUACCNUAAGAAUAAGCACCGGCUAACUCCGUGCCAGCAGCCGCGGUAAUAAGG
rnacentral:rRNA from 1 species